GCAUUUGACACUCGACAUCCUCGUGCUUCUUAAAGCACGUGCCCAACGGUGAGCAACUGCAUCCAACGGUGCCCGAGGGACUCGCGCUGCCCGUUAAGCAGCUUUGUGGUGGCGGAGGCUGGGCUGCGGUCUCUCCGACAUCCUGGGGCAGAGGAAGAGGUGAAGGCUCUGCAGCCCCCGCCGCCCGAUUUACGCUUGAGGAAGCGAAGGCCAGACAGGUCCUCUGCGGGGCCAGCCCACGGCUGCCGGGGGGCCCAGCCCGAGAGAGCGGGACCGGGCUGCGGGGCCCAGCGGCCUGGACGGCGGAGCGUUGAAAGCUCCCCCAGGGAAAGGAAGUGCAGCCGAAAUCAACGACUGAGGUCAUGAAGGAGGGGACGCUUGAGGCCGUGGAAGGGAAGCAGGUUUCUCCAGGAGGGAACCCGGGCCUCCGCUUUGCUCAGCGUUCCCCUCGCGAAUGUGUUGAGCAGCUGUUAUGUGCUGGGGGUACAGAGGGUCUAAGCACCUCCCUCACGCAGGCAGAACCCUGGCUCCCAUGUUCACCAUGCUGAGAAAGACCUGCGGGGGACAGCAGGAGGACAGCCGGGGAAUGGGCCCGCACUUGCCCAGAGGCAGAGCUCGCGCAUGCCCGACCUCGCUCGUCACGGCUCCCUGGGCAGCAGCGCCCUGGCAGUUGGAAGUGGAAGGCUUAUCAGAGUCCGCGCAGCCCCACCGCCCUCCCCACUCUCGGGGUUGGGCAUCGGGGGACAGGGCCAGGGCAGGGAGGAAGACGGAGCCCGGCUCACCCCACAGCUCAGCCCAUGAGGGUGCGCAGAGCAGGGCUGGCAGGAGUGGGCCACUCCACACCCAACCCUGUUGAAGAAAAAGAACAGAAAUGGGGAACAGAAAGUUGUCGAUUGCUGUGUAACAAAUUGCCCCGCAGCUUAGCCCCUCCAAACAAACGAAGCUCCACAGUGUCGCGGGUCAGACAUCCAG